AGCGAACGCUGGCGGCAGGCUUAACACAUGCAAGUCGAGCGGGCAUCCUUGUGGUGUCAGCGGCAGACGGGUGAGUAACGCGUGGGAACGUGCCCUUCGGUUCGGAAUAACUCAGGGAAACUUGAGCUAAUACCGGAUACGUGCGAGAGCAGAAAGGUUUAUCUGCCGAAGGAUCGGCCCGCGUCUGAUUAGCUAGUUGGUGAGGUUACGGCUCACCAAGGCGACGAUCAGUAGCUGGUCUGAGAGGAUGAUCAGCCACACUGGGACUGAGACACGGCCCAGACUCCUACGGGAGGCAGCAGUGGGGAAUAUUGGACAAUGGGGGCAACCCUGAUCCAGCCAUGCCGCGUGAGUGAUGACGGCCUUAGGGUUGUAAAUCUCUUUUCUCCGGGACGAUAAUGACGGUACCGGAGGAAUAAGCCCCGGCUAACUUCGUG
rnacentral:rRNA from 1 species